rnacentral:rRNA from 1 species
UACGUAGGGUGCAAGCGUUGUCCGGAAUUAUUGGGCGUAAAGAGCUUGUAGGCGGUUUGUCGCGUCUGCUGUGAAAUUUCGGGGCUCAACCCCGAACUUGCAGUGGGUACGGGCAGACUAGAGUAUGGUAGGGGAGACUGGAAUUCCUGGUGUAGCGGUGAAAUGCGCAGAUAUCAGGAGGAACACCGAUGGCGAAGGCAGGUCUCUGGGCCAUAACUGACGCUGAGAAGCGAAAGCAUGGGGAGCGAACAGG